GGAGAUGUAGAUAACAAUUAUUAAGAAUCGUGAAUAAAUUGUAAAAUUAUUUUCCUUAUCUAACUCGACUAUGGAAAUUGGUGAUUAGAAAGCCGAAUAUUAAAAAACAAACAAACAUACUUCGCAUGAUGGAUGUGCGUGGGUCACUGUUGUAAGCAAGAAAUUGAAAAGGUACAGUAGAAAUUUAUUGUAUAUCUGUACAUAACGAUUAAACAUUGC